rnacentral:rRNA from 1 species
AUUGAACGCUGGCGGCAGGCCUAACACAUGCAAGUCGAACGAGCGGCGGACUGGUGCGUCAUGUCUUGGGACCUGCCUGAUGGACGCGUCUAACUACUGUAAACGGUAGCUAAUACCGCAUACCCUCCUAUGUACCCAUAUGGGAUUAGCUAGUCGGUGUGGUAACGGCUGACCUAGGCGACGAUCCCUAGCUGGUCUGAGAGGAUGAUCAGCCACACUGGGACUGAGACACGGCCCAGACUCCUACGGGAGGCAGCAGUGGGGAAUAUUGCACAAUGGGCGCAAGCCUGAUGCAGCCAUGCCGCGUGUAUGAAGAAGGCCUUCGGGUUGUAAAGUACUUUCAGUGGGGAGGCGUUACCGACAGAAGAAGCACCGGCUAACUCCGUGCCAGCCGCCGCGGUAAUAC